rnacentral:rRNA from 1 species
AUGUACAUCCCUACAACAUAGUGUUAAUGCAUCGGAUCUCAUUUGAGCUCCACAGUUAAGCGCACUCGGUCUAGAGUAGUACUGGGAUGGGUGACCGCUCGAGAAGUACUAUUAUUUUACAUG